rnacentral:rRNA from 1 species
UACGUAGGGUGCGAGCGUUAAUCGGAAUUACUGGGCGUAAAGUGUGCGCAGGCGGCCGAGCAAGUCGAGUGUGAAAGCCCCGAGCUUAACUUGGGAACUGCGCUCGAAACUACUUGGCUAGAGUGUGGCAGAGGGAGGUGGAAUUCCACGUGUAGCGGUGAAAUGCGUAGAUAUCCGGAGGAACACCGGUGGCGAAGGCGGCUUCCUGGACCGACACUGACGCUGAGGCGCGAAAGCUAGGGGAGCAAACGGG